CAUUCUCAGUUCGGAUUGUAGGCUGAAACUCGCCUACAUGAAGCUGGAGUUACUAGUAAUCGCAGAUCAGAAUGCUGCGGUGAAUGCGUUCCCGGGUCUUGUACACACCGCCCGUCACACCAGGAAGUUGGGGGCGCCCGAAGCCACUUAGCUAACCCUUUUGGGAAGCGAGUGUCGAAGGUGAAAUCAAUAACUGGGGUGAAGUCGUAACAAGGUAUC
rnacentral:rRNA from 1 species